rnacentral:rRNA from 1 species
AGCGUAUAUUAAAGUUGUUGCAGUUAAAAAGCUCGUAGUUGAAUUUCGGGGUCAGUAGGUUGGUCGUGCCACCGGUACGUACUGGUCUCACUGAUUCCUCCUUCCUGAUGAGCUGUAAUGCCAUUAAUUUGGUGUUGCAGGGAAUCUGGACUGUUACUUUGAAAAAAUUAGAGUGUUUAAAGCAGGCUAACGCUUGAAUACAUUAGCAUGGAAUAAUGAAAUAGGACGUUCGAUCCUAUUUUGUUGGUUUCUAGGAUUGACGUAAUGAUUAAUAGGGAUAGUUGGGGGCAUUAGUAUUCAAUUGUCAGAGGNGAAAUUCUUGGAUUUAUUGAAGACUAACUACUGCGAAAGCAUUUGCCAAGGAUGUUUUCAUUAAUCAAGAACGAAAGUUAGGGGAUCGAAGACGAUCAGAUACCGUCGUAGUCUUAACCAUAGACUAUGCCGACUAGGGAUCGGAUGAUGUUAAUUUUUUAAUGACUCAUUC